CCUACGGGAGGCAGCAGUAGGGAAUAUUGCUCAAUGGGGGAAACCCUGAAGCAGCAACGCCGCGUGGAGGAUGAAGGUUUUCGGAUUUUAAACUCCUUUUGUUAGAGAAGAUAAUGACGGUAUCUAACGCAUAAGCACCGGCUAACUCCGUGCCAGCAGCCGCGGUAAUACGGAGGGUGCCAGCGUUAUCCGGAUUUAUUGGGUUUAAAGGGUGCGUAGGCGGACAGUCAAGUCAUCGGUAAAAAUGCGGUGCUCAACGCCGUACAGCCGUUGAAACUGGCAGUCUUGAGUUGGCGAGAAGUAUGCGGAAUGCGUGGGGUAGCGGUGAAAUGCAUAGAUAUCACGAAGAACUCCGAUUGCGAAGGCAGCAUACCGGCGCCCGACUGACGCUGAGGCACGAAAGCGUGGGUAUCGAACAGGAUUAGAUACCCUUGUAGUC
rnacentral:rRNA from 1 species